rnacentral:rRNA from 1 species
AUUGAACGCUGGCGGCAGGCCUAACACAUGCAAGUCGAACGAGUGGCGGACGAGUGAGUAAUGUCUGGGAAACUGCCUGAGGGAGGGGGAUAACUACUGGAAACGGUAGCUAAUACCGCAUACCAUCAGAUGUGCCCAGAUGGGAUUAGCUAGUUGGUGGGGUAACGUCCUACCAAGGCGAGGAUCCCUAGCUGGUCUGAGAGGAUGACCGGCGACACUGGAACUGGGACACGGACCAGACUCCUGCGGGAGGGAGCAGUGGGGAAUGUUGCGCAGUGGGGGCGAGCCUUAUGCAGCCAUGCCGCCUGUAUGAAGAAGGCCUUGGGGUUGGAAAGUACUUUUAGCGGGGAGGCGUUACCCGCAGAAGAAGCACCGGCUAACUACGUGCCAGCAGCCGCGGUAAUUC